rnacentral:lncRNA from 1 species
AUGGAGAAGGCUUGGGAACAUCCUGGGAUAACAGGGUGCCACCUCCAGCCUGCAGGGGCCCUGGUGUGGCUGUCGCCAUGGACUCUGGGCCUGAGGUGGGACCUUCAUCUUGCAGAGAUGGAGGUGAAGGCUUGGGAGUGUCCUGGAGUAAUGAGAUACCACUUUCCGCCUUCUGGGAUUCCAGCAUGGCUGCAGCCACACACUCCUGUCCCACGGUGGGAUCUUUAUCCAGCAGGAGUGGAAGUGCAGGCUCAGGAGCGUCCUGGGGUAAGGGUACACCACCUUCAACCUGCAGGGGCCUCACCAUGGCCACAGCCAUGGACUCCUGUCCCGAGGUGGGAUCUUUAUCCAACAGGGGCGGGAGCUCUGUCUCAGGAGAGUCCUGGGGUAACAGGACGGCCCCUUCAGCCUCCUGAGACUCUAGCAUGGCUACAGCUGCACACUCUGGGCCUGAGGUGGGAUUUUUAUCCAACAGGCGUGGAAGUGCAGACUGAGAAGAGCCCUGGGGUAACAAGACACCCCCUUCAGCCUCCUGAGACUCCAAAAUGGCUGCAGCCACAGACUCUAGGCCUAAGAUGGGAUCUUUAUCCAGCAGGGGUGGAAGUGCAGGCUUGGGAACGUCCUGGGGUAACAGGACGCCCCCUUCAGCCUCCUGAGACUCUAGCAUGGCUACAGCCGCACACUCUGGGCCUGAGGUGGGAUUUUUAUCCAGCAGGGGUGGAAGUGCAGGCUCAGGAAAGUCCUGGGGCAAUGGGACGGCCCCUUCAACCUGCAGAGGCCUCACCAUGGCCACAGCCACGGACUCCAGGCCUGAGAUGGGAUCUUCAUUCAUCAGGGGAGGAAGGGAACAGCGGCAUCACCUCCAUUGACUCCACUUGGAAGAUGAGGCUCCCCUGAAAGGGCAGGAGGGAUGCAGGGAUCAUUGGGUCAUUGGCCAGGAAGUCCAAGUCAAAGAAGUGGCCCUCCUGGCUCCAGGAAGACCCGCUGUCCCCUGACAGGCUGGACUCGGAGGACAGAGGCUUGGCAGGGUGCUGCUCCCAUCCCUCAGCCUCUGACUCUGGCUGGGAGAGGCCCCAGGCUGAGGCGAAGUCCAGCCUUUCGGCAGGGGCCAGCAGGCUGAGGGAACAGGAGGGUGAUGAGGCCUGGCUGUCCCCAUCGGCUGUAACGUAGGAGCCUGAGGGCGAGGAAGGCAGCGAGUCCAGUAGCUCCUCCAGCGGCUCAGCCUCAGGGUGCCAUGCAUUCCUGUGCAGCCCAUGGCCAAGAAGCAGGCCGUAGGUGGCCUUGGUGGGGGUAGAGGGAGGGGUGAAGUAGGGGUCAGUUUCUGGGGAUGGGGAAGGCACAGGAGGGUCAUCCUGAGAGCGGGGCUCCUGUUCCCUGAGCACAGGCAGGGCUGCCCUGGGUGAUGGCAGCACCUGGCAUGUCUCCUCGCCCAUCACAAUCCGGGGCUCCAGGGCGGUGGGCAGAGCCUGGGGGUGUGGGUCCUCAGGGAGGAGUGCGGGGCCGGGGCUCCCCUCUGCUGGGUCUGCCCAGGCCGAGGGGGCCCCACCAGGUCCUGCAUCCCAGCUGGCUCCCUCGGGCUGGGGCCGGGCACCUGGCUUGCUGGGCAGGAACGUGAGGGCCAGGGGGCUGGGCCCUGGGGUCAGGGCACAGGGCUCCUGCCGGUCCCCUCCCAGGAUGGUGGCAGCAGGUGCAUCACAGGCCAGAUCUGUGAAGACAGAGAAAGACAUGAGGUCACAUCCCCAGGCAAGGCCAGGUGAGCUGGGGAUGGGGCAGGGGACCCAUGUCUACUUUAGGGGCCCUGGGAGAGCUGGGUGGAGAAGGCAGCAAAGAAGGGCAUGGCAUGGGAGGGGAGAAUUUCGAGGCCUUUCGCAGAGCUGAGAACUGCUGACAGCAGCUCUGUGGAAAGGAGGCCGGGGGGUGCUGUUAUAAACACAGGGUUUUCUUGGGGACGCUUCAGGAAAGAUGCAAGCAGCACUUCUCUUUCUGGAGACAGCUUGCUGUUUCCUUUCCCGUCAUCAGCACGGUGCAGCUGGCUUGGCAGGAGUGGGUGGCCCCCCAGAGCCUUGUGCCCGGGCCUGCUGUGCCCUGUGGUGGCCCGGGGGAUGUAAGGAGGGCACUUCGUGUGACCAUGUCUCUGGGCAGUGGAGGCAGAUGUGUUCUGCACAGUCUGGGCUGGAGGUUGUGGUGGGCACGGAUGGUGACCAUGAAGCAGGGCAGCGGUGAGAGGCAGGUGCCGCUGUGGCCUGGUCCUCUCCAUAAUGACAGCCACCCCAUGGUGAGCGCCAGGCCUCCCUGGGUGCUGGGGGCUCCUUCCUGUCCGGGUCCCUUCUCUGGGUCCCCAGGUGCUCAGGCGGCCUCCAUGGGCCAACAAACCACUGCACAACCCACCCUGAAGGAAUGAGGGCCAGAGAGCACUUAGGGGACCUGGGCAGGUAGAGGAAGUCCCCUCUGGGUGGCCCCACGUGAUCACGGCACAGGGGUCUCGGCCUCCUGGGCUCAUGCCAACCUGCAUUUUAUCUCCACUGAGGUCACUGCACUCACUUUUGAAUCUUGCGGUCUCACCGACCAUCAUCUGCUAAGUGUUUUUCCGAGUGCACUGAGUGCUCAUGGCUGCAUUUUUAAUGCUCCAUUACAGCCCUGCCUCACCUGGACGGAGGCCAAAGGCUCAUCUCUGGGUCCUCCUCCUGCUCCCAGAGCAGGCUGCAAAGCCUCCUGCCUCCCUGGCUGUUGACAGGGCAGCCGGCCCCGUCUGGGCUUUCUCUUCUGCUCAGCAA